AACGAACGCUGGCGGCGCGCCUAAUACAUGCAAGUCGAGCGAGAAGGUGUAGCAAUACACUUGUAAAGCGGCGAACGGGUGAGGAAUACAUGGGUAAUCUACCAUCGAGUGGGGAAUAACCAGCCGAAAGGUUGGCUAAUACCGCGUACGCUUCCGAGUCUUCGGGCUUGGAAGGAAAGCCGCACUGUGAGUGCGGCGCUCUUUGAUGAGCUCAUGUCCUAUCAGCUUGUUGGUAGGGUAACGGCCUACCAAGGCUUUGACGGGUAGCUGGUCUGAGAGGACGAUCAGCCACACUGGCACUGCGACACGGGCCAGACUCCUACGGGAGGCAGCAGUAAGGAAUAUUGCGCAAUGGGGCGAAAGCCUGACGCAGCGACGCCGCGUGGGGGAUGAAGGUCUUCGGAUCGUAAAGCUCUGUGGGGGGAGAAGAAGAAGCCGGUGAAGAGCCGGCCCUGACGGUAUCCCCUUAGCAAGCACCGGCUAACUCCGUGCCAG
rnacentral:rRNA from 1 species